GAUGAAGAACGCAGCGAAAUGCGAUAAGUAGUGUGAAUUGCAGAAUUCAGUGAAUCAUCGAAUCUUUGAACGCACAUUGCGCCCCUUGGUAUUCCAUGGGACAUGCCUGUUCGAGCGUCAUUUGUACCUUCAAGCUCUGCUUGGUGUUGGGUGUUUGUCUCGCCUCUGCGUGUAGACUCGCCUCAAAACAAUUGGCAGCCGGCGUAUUGAUUUCGGAGCGCAGUACAUCUCGCGCUUUGCACUCAUAACGACGACGUCCAAAAGUACAUUUUUACACUCUUGACCUCGGAUCAGGUAGGGAUACCCGCUGAACUUAAGCAUAUCAAUAAGCGGAGGA
rnacentral:misc_RNA from 1 species